UCCCUGGUGGUCUGGUAGCUGAGAACUCUGCGCUCCCAACACAGGGGGUCCAGGUUCAAUUCCUGGUCAGGGAA
rnacentral:tRNA from 1 species